UGUUACUCUAUACAAAAAAAA
ensembl:piRNA 21ur-11540 ncRNA